UCAUAAAGAGGUGUAUCAUAGU
rnacentral:siRNA from 1 species